GGAUGUGAGGGUGAUCUGACUGAGACAGCAGUCACUCCAGUGAUUGCCAGGGUUGAUUCAUCCAAUCUGGCCAGUUAGUCAGGUGUCCCUUUCCUCACUGCUCC
rnacentral:sRNA from 1 species